GGAAAGAGGUGUUGUAUUGCCUGAUGGGAAACCUAAUGAGGUCUCUUAUAUAUUUAGUUGUGGUGUGACAUUCCUGAGUGAUCCAGAUUGAGCAUGCUCUGUAGCCCUGUGCUGAAGAAGCAAAGAUUCAGCUCUCCCCUCUUUAAGAGAGAGUGGAGCCUUUCAACUAUUGUGCUGCUAUUCAACAGAGCUCCAUCCUGAACAAGUGUAAGUUGUAGUGUUUGCAGUGGUCAAUGAGGUGGUUCCUGUUGGGGUCUGCGAUAGAAUCUCCCUGCAAGAUAUUUACUGCUCAAAAGAUUUCUGAAGUGGACUCAUUCCCUCUUGGUUGUGUGCAGCCAUCGAGUUCGAUGCUGACUUAUGAUUUAAGACGAAGGAGAAGAAUAAAGUCAUCUGUAACUGAAGUAUCAUGGUCCCGUGUAUUUCCUGGAAGGAGUGACACAAAGGAAGGUUGAAAAGUGUUAA